UACGUAGGGCGCAAGCGUUGUCCGGAAUCAUUGGGCGUAAAGGGCGUGUAGGCGGGAAGGAAAGUCGGGCGUGAAAUCCCUGGGCUCAACCCAGGAACUGCACUCGAAACUUCUUUUCUUGAGUGCCGGAGAGGAAAGCGGAAUACCUGGUGUAGAGGUGAAAUUCGUAGAUAUCAGGUGGAACACCAGUGGCGAAGGCGGCUUUCUGGACGGUAACUGACGCUGAGACGCGAAAGCGUGGGGAGCAAACAGG
rnacentral:rRNA from 1 species